UACAGAGACCUCGAGCGUUUUCCGGAAUCAUUGGGCGUAAAGCGUCCGCAAAUGGUUACGUAAGUCGAGCUUGAAAUCCGACGGCUCAACCGUCGAUACGGGUUCGAUACAACGUGACUAGAGGUUUGGAGAGGCUGAUGGAACUCCCGGUGUAGCAGUGAAAUGCGUUAAGAUCGGGAAGAACACCAAUUGCGAAGGCAGUCAGCUGGCCAAUACCUGACAUCCAUGGACGAAAGCGUGGGGAGCGAACGGG
rnacentral:rRNA from 1 species